rnacentral:tRNA from 1 species
GUUAAAGAAGCGAAUGUAACGCACUAAGUUUCGGCCUUAGCUCUGAAGAUUUAUUUCCUUUAAUU